GCACAUGAAAUACAACACCUAUUAAAAACAGAACACAUGCCACUACCAGGGUCGAUGCACGUUCAAGUUGGUGUAUGUUUUUUCUGUGUGCAGCACGCUCCACAGCCGUCUGGCCAGCGAGCUGUCUCCGCUGAAGGAGGAGCUGGAUGCUGUGAGGCAGGACAACAUCCAGCUGGUCAGAGAACACAACCAUGUGAAACAGAGCUGUGAGGAGAUGAGGAGACUACAUGAUGAGGACCAGAGAGAGCUGGGAGACAUGAGGCUGCUUCACCAACAGGUGAUGAGAGAUGGGGUCGUCAGAGAGUCCUCAAACACAGCUG